rnacentral:rRNA from 1 species
UACGUAGGGGCGCAAGCGUUGUCCGGAAUUAUUGGGCGUAAAGAGCUCGUAGGCGGUUGUCGCGUCUGCUAGUGAAAACCUAAGGCUCAACCUUCAGACGUCGACGGGAAACCGUCUGGCUAGAGUCCGGAAGAGGAGAGUGGAAUUCCGUGGUGUAGCGGUGAAAUGCGCAGAUAUCAGGAAGAACACCGAGUGGCGAAGGCAGCUCUCUGGGACGGUACUGACGCUGA